rnacentral:rRNA from 1 species
GUGCGGAUUUGAUAAACGCUGAAGGCAUCUAAGCGUGAAACAAACCUCAAGAUUAGAUAUCCCUCCUAGCUUGACUAGGUAAGGUCACUUGCAGACUACAAGUUUGAUAGGUCGGAGGUGUACGCACAGUAAUGUGUUUAGCUGACCGAUACUAAUAGACCGAGGGCUUGAACUU